rnacentral:rRNA from 1 species
GGGCCCGCACAAGCGGUGGAGCAUGUGGUUUAAUUCGACGCAACGCGAAGAACCUUACCUACACUUGACAUCCUCGGAACUUUCUAGAGAUAGAUUGGUGCCUUCGGGAACCGAGUGACAGGUGCUGCAUGGCUGUCGUCAGCUCGUGUCGUGAGAUGUUGGGUUAAGUCCCGUAACGAGCGCAACCCUUAUCCUUAAUUGCCAGCGGUUAGGCCGGGAACUCUAAGGAGACUGCCGAUGACAAAUCGGAGGAAGGUGGGGACGACGUCAAGUCAUCAUGGCCCUUACGUGUAGGGCUACACACGUGCUACAAUGGCCGGUACAAACGGUUGCGAACCCGCGAGGGGAAGCUAAUCCCAGAAAACGUCUCGUAGUCCGGAUUGGAGUCUGCAACUCGACUCCAUGAAGUCGGAAUC